UACGGGGGGUGCGAGCGUUGUUCGGAAUUACUGGGCGUAAAGGGUUCGUAGGUGGCCAACUAAGUCAGACGUGAAAUCCCUCAGCUUAACUGGGGAACUGCGUCUGAGACUGGAUGGCUUGAAUCCGGGAGAGGGAUGCGGAAUUCCAGGUGUAGCGGUGAAAUGCGUAGAUAUCUGGAGGAACACCGGUGGCGAAGGCGGCAUCCUGGACCGGCAUUGACGCUGAUGAGCGAAAGCCAGGGGAGCAAACGGG
rnacentral:rRNA from 1 species